CCUACGGGAGGCAGCAGUAGGGAAUAUUGCUCAAUGGGGGAAACCCUGAAGCAGCAACGCCGCGUGGAGGAUGAAGGUUUUCGGAUUGUAAACUCCUUUUGGUAGAGAAGAGAAUGACGGUAUCUAACGAAUAAGCACCGGCCAACGCCGUGCCAGCAGCCGCGGUAAUACGGAGGGUGCAAGCGUUAUUCGGAAUCACUGGGCGUAAAGCGCGCGUAGGCGGGAUAGCAAGUCAGAUGUGAAAUCCUCUGGCUUAACCAUAGAACUGCAUUUGAAACUGUUAUUCUAGAGUAUGGGAGAGGUAGGUGGAAUUCUUGGUGUAGAGGUGAAAUCCGUAGAGAUCAAGAGGAAUACUCAUUGCGAAGGCGACCUGCUAGAACAUAACUGACGCUGAUGCGCGAAAGCGUGGGGAGCAAACAGGAUUAGAUACCCGGGUAGUC
rnacentral:rRNA from 1 species